rnacentral:pre_miRNA from 1 species
CAUAUACUUUCUUCAUCUGAAAAUACUUAUCAUAGAAAUGGAUGUAUCUAGAUGUAUUUUAAUUCUAGAUACAUCCAUUUUUAUACAUUUAUUCGACAAGUAAUUUCGAACAAAGGGAGUACCAA